GGGGAUGGGGCGGUGGCUCAGUGGUAGAGCAUCUGCUUCGGAAGCAGAAGGUCCCAGGUUCAAUCCCUGGCAUCUCCA